UAGUCAUAUGCUUGUCUCAAAGAUUAAGCCAUGCAUGUCUAAGUGUAAACGAAUUUACAGUGGAACUGCGAAUGGCUCAUUAAAUCAGUUAUAGUUUAUUUGAUUGUUAAAUUUCUACUUGGAUAACCGUAGUAAUUCUAGAGCUAAUACAUGCUAAAAAAAUCUGACUUUGGUGUUAAAACUGAGGAAAGAUUGUAUUUAUUAGAUACAAAAACCAAUUAUUGAAGGGCAACUUUCAAUACAAAUUUUUGGUGAAUCAUAAUAACUUUUUUAAACCUUUAAAAAGUUUAAAGCGAAUCGCAUUAUCUUUGUAUAGGCGAUGAUUCAUUCAAAUUUCUGCCCUAUCAACUUUGAUGGUAGGAUAGAGGCCUACCAUGGUGGUAACGGGUAACGGAGAAUUAGGGUUCGAUUCCGGAGAGGGAGCCUGAGAAAUGGCUACCACUUCCAAGGAAGGCAGCAGGCGCGCAAAUUACCCAAUCCUGAUACAGGGAGGUAGUGACAAAAAAUAACGAUAUGAGGUUCUUUAAUGAAUUUCAUAAUUGGAAUGAGUUUGAUUUAAACCCCUUUUCAAGUAACAAUUA
rnacentral:rRNA from 1 species